UACGUAGGGGGCAAGCGUUGUCCGGAUUUAUUGGGCGUAAAGAGCGUGUAGGCGGCUAGGUAGGUGGGUUGUGAAAACUGGAGGCUCAACCUUCAGACGUCGACCCAAACCCCCUGGCUAGAGUCCGGAAGAGGAGAGUGGAAUUCCUGGUGUAGCGGUGAAAUGCGUAGAUAUCGGGAGGAACAUCCGUGGCGAAGGCGGCCACCUGGACCAGCACUGACACUGGAGGCACGAAAGCGGUGGGGAGCAAACAGGA
rnacentral:rRNA from 1 species